UUGAACGCUGGCGGCAUGCUUUACACCUGCAAGUCGAACGGCAGCGCGGGCUUCGGCCUGGCGGCGAGUGGCGAACGGGUGAGUAAUGCAUCGGAACGUGCCCAGUAGUGGGGGAUAGCCCGGCGAAAGCCGGAUUAAUACCGCAUACGACCUGAGGGUGAAAGCGGGGGACCGAAAGGCCUCGCGCUAUUGGAGCGGCCGAUGUCGGAUUAGCUAGUUGGUGGGGUAAAGGCUUACCAAGGCGACGAUCCGUAGCUGGUCUGAGAGGACGACCAGCCACACUGGGACUGAGACACGGCCCAGACUCCUACGGGAGGCAGCAGUGGGGAAUUUUGGACAAAGGGGGCAACCCUGAUCCAGCCAUGCCGCGUGCGGGAAGAAGGCCUUCGGGUUGUAAACCGCUUUUGUUCGGGAAGAAAUCCUCUGGGCUAAUACCCCGGGGGGAUGACGGUACCGGAAGAAUAAGCACCGGCUAACUACGUG
rnacentral:rRNA from 1 species